rnacentral:SRP_RNA from 1 species
GUUCGCCCCUUACAAGGCUACAGUCGCUAGAGGGAGGAGGACGGAGGUCUUCCUGUCUCGGGUGAUGAUGAGACGCGGAACGCCUGAGGCUGGAAACAGAGCAGGGAAAAGCGUCCGCUGUAGUACAGUGCAGGGAUCACGAGU